UCGGGAAUUUUGGGCAAUGGGCGAAAGCCUGACCCAGCAACGCCGCGUGAAGGAUGAAGUAUUUCGGUAUGUAAACUUCGAAAGAAUAGGAAGAAUAAAUGACGGUACUAUUUAUAAGGUCCGGCUAACUACGUGCCAGCAGCCGCGGUAAUACGUAGGGACCAAGCGUUGUUCGGAUUUACUGGGCGUAAAGGGCGCGUAGGCGGCAAUUCAAGUCAUCUGUGAAAUCUCCGGGCUUAACUCGGAACGGUCAGAUGAUACUGCUUUGCUAGAGUGCAGAAGGGGCAAUCGGAAUUCUUGGUGUAGCGGUGAAAUGCGUAGAUAUGUGGAGGAAUACCGAUGGCGAAGGCAGCCCCCUGGGAUAACACUGACGCUCAUGCACGAAAGCGUGGGGAGCAAACAGGAUUAGAUACCCUAGUAGUCCCUGAGCGGGCUGGCAAGGCGCAU
rnacentral:rRNA from 1 species